UUCAGACUUCAAAUCGAUUGUUGAGCGAGGAGGCGAUCACCGUCGGUGAAGCAACAAAGUGAGGCUCCGAAGACGCUAGGGCCAUGAAGGUCAGCCUAUUGUGGGUGGUGGACGCAUAUCAUCACAUGAUGCACACAUACCUUCAGAGAGAGUCAAUUGGACAAACCUUACAAAACAUAUGGAAUAGAGCUUGAAAGGGAAACAAACGGAAAUGGGAAAGCGAAUGCUAGCUAGAGAAGAUCCUCGAUCAUGAAGAUAGCUCAAUUUUAAAGUAGGUUGAGAUUCGAAAUAACAUGAGCGACAAAACAAAAGAUUUAGUGACUGGUUUAAUGCUGAAGUUCAAAGACGUAACAUUAUCUUUGAGAUACUACUAGGUAGAUUGCAAGAUCUAUUAAUACUUCUUUCCACAUUUAACUAUGAAACACAAGAUGAAGUAUUAAAAGUGUUUUGUAAAGUAUAUAAGUUGCUCACACUCAUCAUAACUACUAUGCAAAGUACUAUUCUUUCAUGCUA